AAAGCUGGAGAUUGGGGGUAAUGGAGAGCGGUGCCGGCCUCCGCAGUUAGCACUUUCCCUGAGGCGUGCGGUUUACGUUAUUUAAAAUAAAAAUCAGAGACUGUAGCAUGAACUCCCAACAGACCAGGCACUGUCCCGCGAUAUAUCUAGCACCUCUUAUCUGGAAGAGAAUGCAUGAACAUACUGCUUCCUCUCUGGGUGUACUGAAGACAAAAACUUGUGAACAAGCGACACACGAGAAUGUGGAUUGGAAAAAUUGGAGGGGACUUUGGUCGGAGUCUUCGAGCCUUUCUAAUACACGCCGGCUUCAUGGUCACUCUGCCACAGUGCUAGGGACAAAGAACUCCAGGUCUGGAAGGUCAGUUUACUGACAUCUGAUGCCUGAUGCAAGAAUGGAAGAUGGAAACGAGAAUGGAAGAUGGAAACGUGAAUGCAAAUCUCGCCAUUUUUUGCAAGAGGAAAUAUUUGGUUUUUCAUGGAUAAGCAUUAUCUAUUGUGAAAUACUUGAUUGCUAGUGUUAA